rnacentral:lncRNA from 1 species
UUGGCAAAAUAAAACCAAGUGAUUCUUGAAUAGGGAUCAUGUGUCUUCAUAUAGCUAUACGUGGCUUAAAGAAUUACAUUUAAACACACUUAUAAUCCUAGAGCUUGAACCCAGUCUCAAAUACCAUCUCAUCUUUUAAUUCCCAUUCGUCCCAUUAUGUCUAUAACCCGAGUUUAUAGCUGAGCUGGUUAUAUGCUGUGAAAACUCUUGACAUGGACAUCAAGGAUCGUCAGAAAGCUAAUGUCAACCUUUCCUUUGCUUAAAAUGGUAAAUAUUUUACUUACUUUCGUUCCGGAGAAAAAAGAAAAAAAGCAGAAUAUAACCUGUUUAUAUGCUUGUCUUUUGUUACCACUGAACUCCUUUUUAGCUACAAACUAUUACAUUGGAUAGCCUAUCUUUAUUGAUUCAGAGAGUGUGUAUUUUUCUAUCCUAUUGUUUGGGGUUUUUGUUUGCUUUUUUUUUCCUUAAAAUUCCCAGUACAUGGUUAUUCACCUUUUUCUCCCAUUUUGCCAAAGACUGCUCAUUUUCUUAAAUCAAGUUUGUUUUUUGGUUUUUGUUUUUUGUUUUUUGGUUUAUUUUUGGUUACUAGGCAGUCAGUCCCUACUAAUUAAAUAAAACUGAAAUAUCACUUUUGAACUCAGUUUUAUCAUAUAUAAAAUAAAUAACUUUCCUUAAAUGUUUGGCUAUAUAUUUCUGAAUCUGAUACUGAUUUCUCUUUGUGUUAGCAUGAGAAAAAUGAAUAGCUGUUUUUGGUUUCAGGAAUGGUUACAGAUCAUCUUAGAGGACAUUCAUUUAUUGUAAGUUGAUAAUGACUUUACAAAGAAUAUUUUCUCCAAUAAUAUUUUGAUUUGUCCUCAUUUAAUUUGUUCAAUACAUAUGUAUUGAGUGCCUGUAAUAUUCCAGAAACUGUUGUAUGUACAGUUCUGGAUGUUUGGAUAAACAAAACAUCCAGCUGUUUGCACUCCAAGAGCUUAGGGUCUAGCAAGGGAGUGCAGACACUAAACAAAGGUGAAUAUGAAUCACAAGUGGGAUAUGUUACCUAGUGAUAAACUCUGAUGAAUGGGGGUGGGGAAAUAUGAAGAUGGAGGGUAGGGAUAAAGUUGUAAUUUUAAAUGAAGCAUUGAAGGAAAGCCUCACUGAGAAGAUGAUUUCUAAGUGCUUUGAAGGAAAUAAGUACUAUCAUAGUGUAUUUUCUUUUUUUUUUUUUUUUUAGGGUAUUUUCUUAUAUCACUGUAGUUCAUUUGGUUGACAAACACCCCUGAUUACUUGCAUUUUGCUAAGUGUGAAGUCACUUAGGAAAUUUUUUAAAAGAUGGACAGUAUUGUAUAUUCUCCUUUUCAGCUGGUGCAUUGUAUAGGAAGGAUCGCAGCCAUUGAAUUAAAUGCUGCUGGUUUACUAAGGAACUAAAACAAGAACAAAUAUAAUUUCCCAAGGUGACUUUUUAUAGUUUUUCUGUCACGUACUUUAUUUACCUAACUCAGACAUUUUUGCAUUUUAGCUUAACUUUGAACAUUUUUACAUUUUAAAAAUCCAAAGGGUUUCGAAGAGUUGAAGAUGUGUCCAUUUGGCAGUUAAUAUGAUGUGUCUGUGGGUCAAAUUUUGCCCAUAGUUCUUUUAAUCUGUCAGAUAAUCUGUUACACGAAGUUAAUUAUGCAAAGAGUAACAUAGCUGAGGGCAAAUUUGGAUUAAUAACAUCAAAAUUUUAAAUGUAUGAAAAUAAUUUGAAUAAAGUAAGUACCCAUUUCUGAAGUAUUAAAAAUGAGGGAGAUGAUUUUUUGAAAUAGUGCAUUAUACAAAAAUUAGCUUUAAUAUCUAUCUAGUUUAUUUAGAAUCUAUUUUAUUUCUAUAAUUCUAUAGUGAAAGAAUUUAUACUUAUGAAUAGGAAAUUCCAAAAAACUAAACAAGUGAAACCAUGUUAGUAGGUUUACUUUAAAUAAGUAGCAAUGAUAAGAUACAGAAAUUACUGUAAUUGUGUUUUAUUUACUCUAUAUGCAUAUAAUGACUUGAUCUUUUCUAUUUUUAAUAAUUUGUUAAGAGUGUGAAAUGUAAUUUUUUCCCACAGGUUUAAAUUUCUAUCAUUAUAGUAGAUGAUGGCCUGUGUACCUGUUUAGGUAUAAGUGGCUGAUAGUCUGUCAACUUUAUAGUCUAUUGAAACUAAAUAUCAAUAGACUAUAAACAUGAGAGAAAGAAUUGAAUUAUAGAAAUUUUAUUUUAAAAGUUUUAAUCAUUAAAUUUUUUUUAAUUUAGUAAAAUUUUAAAAGAACCACAUUGCAAAAAGGAGGAAAACAGUCAUUUCAACUAUUGGCACUAAAGUAAUUGGAUAUCCACAUUAAAAAAAAAAAAAUGAACCUCAAUCCCUAUUUCAUACUGCACACAAAUAUCAAUUCAAGAGGGACCAUAUGUUUCAUUGUAAAAGCUAAAAUCAUAACGUUUUUAGAGGAAGUCAUAAGAGAAUAAUUUGAUAAUUUUAGAGGUAGGUGAAAGAUUUCUUAGGACACAGUUGUAACCCUAAAAUUUAUUUUAUCCUAAGACUUCAUAUUAUUUAGAAGUUUCUACCCAUCAAAAAACCUGUUAAGAGAAUAGAUGUGUCAUAGUUUGAUAAAAUAUUUGCAACACAUGAGACAAAGAACUAAUAAUGUUCAAGAUAAAGGAAGAACUACCCCCCCCCAAAAAAGAUUGAAGAAUAGGCAAGAAAUAUAGAUAGAUACUUCACAGUUAACCAAAAAACACUUGAAAAAGUGCUUAAUCCCUAGCAAUUAUAAUAUGAUGAUCCUUACUAUAGUUUCCUAUAUUUCUUGCAGUGAGUUCUUAGAAGUUCUUAGGUCACUAUGUUUUUAUCUCAGGUCAAGUUAAAGACUAAUUUUUCCAGCCUGAGGAAAGAAGUAGAAACACAGUUGCAAUGCAUUGUUGGAUUUUAUAAUUUUUUGGUAGCUCUCUCUGCAGAAGGAAGUGUUGGAAGAAAAGGGUGUUAGAUCUUAAAAAGUUAAGAUGGUUACAUAAAAUGUUAAGUAAUAGUGCUCUCCCCGGGUCAAGCACAAAAGCCUUUUCAAAUGAAUGAUCAGACAUAUGC